UUGCAGAUGCUGGGUGGCAGGUAAAUGAUGAAACUCAGUGAUGCUUGGAGACUAAAUAUCUUUCCCAGCAGGCUUCUACUGUUUCUCUGCUCAACAGCCAGCUACUGUAUCUUUUGCCUGGAAGUGACUUGCUUAGAACUGACAAUUCCAAUGGUCCUGAAGAUCGACAUGCUGGGACCACCUCACAUGAGCAGCAGUUGUGAAAACCUGGCUCUUCCAUCCACCAUGAAAGUCAUUCCAGCCAGCCCGAUCAAUCAACAGCAAAUCACCCAGGAGGACCAGGAUGGCUCUGAAAAAACCACCAUGGGUUGACAUAAUCAGAUGCUGCUGUAAUGUGUC